rnacentral:tRNA from 1 species
UGCCCCAUGGCUUAGUUGGCUAUAGCGUCCGACUGUUAAUCGGAAGGUCGGGAGUUCGAGACUCCCUGGGGCAG